rnacentral:lncRNA from 1 species
GUUUUGAUAUUUUAGAUAGUUUUGGGGGAGAAAGUGAGAUAAGAUAAGUAAUUAAGAAAAGAUAUAAAUAGGAGAAGACCUAAUUGUUAGAAAACUAUUGUACGUACGUUUUUGGAGAAAAAGGGAGAAAAAGCCAAGAGAAGAGAAACCAAGAGGGAGAGCUGCGAUUUCUGCAAUUAAGGUAAGGGUGAGACUAAUAACUCAGUAUUGUUAAUUGAAUGUAAUUN